rnacentral:rRNA from 1 species
UCGGAACGUGUCCUGUCUGGGGGAUAACUGAUCGAAAGAUCAGCUAAUACCGCAUGAGACCUGAGGGUGAAAGCGGGGGAUCGCAAGACCUCGCGCGACAGGAGCGGCCGAUGUCUGAUUAGCUAGUUGGUGAGAUAAAAGCUUACCAAGGCGACGAUCAGUAGCUGGUCUGAGAGGAUGAUCAGCCACAUUGGGACUGAGACACGGCCCAGACUCCUACGGGAGGCAGCAUG